ensembl:lncRNA
GGUGCAUUUGGGGUUCCAUUCUCCUUCCUCUGCCCAUUAUGGGGCACAUUUGGGGUCCCACCCUUCCUUGGGGUCCCACCCUUCUUUGGGGUCCCACCCUUUUUCCCCCCGGCCCUAUGGGGCACAUUUGGGGUGCGGUGCCGUUGCUGUGGGUCGCGACGCCGUCGUUUCCUCUGUGGGGCCGAACCCGAAAGACUUGGGGUCGUUUUUGGGAACAGAUCUGGGGGGGAAAAAAAAAAGACACCGAAAACCCCCAAAUCAGUGGGGCAGACCGUCACAAAUCUGUGGGGCAGGACCCCAAAAUGUGUGGGGCAGGACCCCAAAAUCAGUGGGGCAGGACCCCAAAAUCAGUGGGGCAGGACCCCAAGGCGGUGCUGCUGUCAGAGCGUUUACUUUGAACCCAAAUCACGGGCAGCUCACGGCUUCGCUUCAUCACUCAGCCAAAGGAGAAAUGGGGCGGGGGGUCCUGUGACCUUCCAGGACCUUUCCAACCCAACCCAACCAUCCCGUGGUCCUGUGACCUUUCAGGACCUUCCCAACCCACCCCACCCAUCCCAUGGUUCUGUAAUCUUCCAGGACCUUUCCAACCCAACCCAACCAUUCUGUGGGUCUUUAAUCUUCCAGGACCUUCCCAACCCAACCCAAUCAUCCUACAGUUCUGUGACCUUCCAGGACCUUCCCCAUCCCAACCCAACCCCAACCCAAUCAUCCCGUGGUCCUGUGACCUUCCAGGACUUUCCCAACCCCAACCCAAUCAUCCCGUGGUUCUGUGACCUCCCAGGACCUUCCCAACCCCACCCCAAUCAUCCCCGUGGUCCUGUGACCUUCCAGGACCUUCCCCAUCCCAACCCAACCCCAACCCAACCAUCCCGUGGUCCUGUGACCUUCCAGGACUUUCCCAACCCCAACCCAAUCAUCCCGUGGUUCUGUGACCUCCCAGGACCUUCCCAACCCCACCCCAAUCAUCCCCGUGGUCCUGUGACCUUCCAGGACCUUCCCCAUCCCAACCCAACCCCAACCCAACCAUCCCGUGGUCCUGUGACCUUCCAGGACUUUCCCAACCCCAACCCAAUCAUCCCGUGGUUCUGUGACCUCCCAGGACCUUCCCAACCCCACCCCAAUCAUCCCCGUGGUCCUGUGACCUUCCAGGACCUUCCCCAUCCCAACCCAACCCCAACCCAACCAUCCCGUGGUCCUGUGACCUUCCAGGACUUUCCCAACCCCAACCCAAUCAUCCCGUGGUUCUGUGACCUCCCAGGACCUUCCCAACCCCACCCCAAUCAUCCCCGUGGUCCUGUGACCUUCCAGGACCUUCCCCAUCCCAACCCAACCCCAACCCAACCAUCCCGUGGUCCUGUGACCUUCCAGGACUUUCCCAACCCCAACCCAAUCAUCCCGUGGUUCUGUGACCUCCCAGGACCUUCCCAACCCCACCCCAAUCAUCCCCGUGGUCCUGUGACCUUCCAGGACCUUCCCCAUCCCAACCCAACCCCAACCCAACCAUCCCGUGGUCCUGUGACCUUCCAGGACUUUCCCAACCCCAACCCAAUCAUCCCGUGGUUCUGUGACCUCCCAGGACCUUCCCAACCCCACCCCAAUCAUCCCCGUGGUCCUGUGACCUUCCAGGACCUUCCCCAUCCCAACCCAACCCCAACCCAACCAUCCCGUGGUCCUGUGACCUUCCAGGACUUUCCCAACCCCAACCCAAUCAUCCCGUGGUUCUGUGACCUCCCAGGACCUUCCCAACCCCACCCCAAUCAUCCCCGUGGUCCUGUGACCUUCCAGGACCUUCCCCAUCCCAACCCAACCCCAACCCAACCAUCCCGUGGUCCUGUGACCUUCCAGGACUUUCCCAACCCCAACCCAAUCAUCCCGUGGUUCUGUGACCUCCCAGGACCUUCCCAACCCCACCCCAAUCAUCCCCGUGGUCCUGUGACCUUCCAGGACCUUCCCCAUCCCAACCCAACCCCAACCCAACCAUCCCGUGGUCCUGUGACCUUCCAGGACUUUCCCAACCCCAACCCAAUCAUCCCGUGGUUCUGUGACCUCCCAGGACCUUCCCAACCCCACCCCAAUCAUCCCCGUGGUCCUGUGACCUUCCAGGACCUUCCCCAUCCCAACCCAACCCCAACCCAACCAUCCCGUGGUCCUGUGACCUUCCAGGACUUUCCCAACCCCAACCCAAUCAUCCCGUGGUUCUGUGACCCAUAUGGGGCUCUGCCCCCUCCCCGCACAGAUUUGGGCUCAGCCCCACACAUUUGGGUUCAGCCCCCCAUUUUUGGCUCAGCCCCACACAUUUGA